rnacentral:tRNA from 1 species
GUUUUGCAAGUUUUUUAAAAUAUCAAUCUUGUAAAUUGAAGAGCAAGGUUUAAUUCCUUGGCAAAACC